UAGAUGAAUAUUAGACUAAUACUACCUUAUAUUACCAAUAUAAAUAACCUCUUUUUAAUUAAGUAAAUACUUUUAGUUAUUUUGAUCUCAUGGGGUCCUAAUUUCUUGAGAGGAUAUGAUGACUAUAUAAAUAGGAGUAUUCUCACAAUGACAUGUAAAACUUUCAUUCACAAAAUAUGGUCACAUUUUGCUUCCAAUUAAUAGUAUUUUCAAUAAUAGCAAAUCUCAUAUUUGUUAUAGCAGCUAGAAAUUAUCCAACUAACAUGUCUCCAUCAUUGCCCUUACCACCAAAUGUCAUCUUCAUCUAUUAUCCGAUACACCAUCUCUGUCAUCAUUACCAUCGUGUUCGUAAGUUACUCCUCCUAACAUCACCUUCAUACGUGCUCCAAUCUUCACAUUUGCAACCAUUGAUUCAACAAGUACCUUCUUGUGAUUUGGAUAUUUCUUUGUUGCAAUACUUGAUGACAGGCCCCUUCACAUGCAGCCCGAUUCUUUUCCAGUGGCCAACCAGGACCUUGAAGUGUGUGACUAUCUCAUCUAAAAGUUUAAACUAUUAGACAGAGAAAACUUUUAUUUAUAAAAUUAUGUUUUUAAACAGUAAUGCUAACCAGAUCUUAAGCAGUAAAUAAUGACACAACAACGAAAUUUAUACAUGAGAAAUCUUGUCAAAAUAUUUUGAAAACGAUAAUGUGUUAUAAACACUUGUAUUAUAGUGAAUGUCUAUUAUGUGGAGCUCUUUGGAGAAAAGUUAGAAAUCCUACUUGUGACCAAGUCAGGUUUCCCCUAUAAAUAAAGGGAUUUCCUUAAAUUCAUCCCUUCAGGAGAAAUAAUAAGUCUGCUCUCUUCUCCCUA